GUGUUUGCUUUAACAGCACUUAUACUAAAAUUGGAAAGAUACAGAGAAUAUUAGCAUAGCCCAUGCACAAGGAUGUCAUGCAAAUUUGUGAAGUGCUCCAUAUUUUU
ensembl:snRNA U6 U6 spliceosomal RNA